rnacentral:rRNA from 1 species
UACGAAGGGGGCUAGCGUUGCUCGGAAUUACUGGGCGUAAAGCGCACGUAGGCGGAUUGUUAAGUCGGGGGUGAAAUCCUGGAGCUCAACUCCAGAACUGCCUUCGAUACUGGCGAUCUAGAGUCCGGAAGAGGUGAGUGGAACUCCUAGUGUAGAGGUGGAAUUCGUAGAUAUUAGGAAGAACACCAGUGGCGAAGGCGGCUCACUGGUCCGGUACUGACGCUGAGGUGCGAAAGCGUGGGGAGCAAACAGG